UUUUCGUGGGGUGUGGAGAUCGUUCGCUCAUACGAUGGAGAACGAAAAACGAAUUUUUCUGUCCGAAAUCAAGCCCUUUCUUCGAUUUUUUCAAAAGUUUUAUAUUCAAAAACAUAUUUUCUCGUGCACUGACAAAAAAAAACAGAAAUAUUGAAAGCUCUCGAUGGUCGAAGCAUUAUUAGAAAUGACACAUUUGUGUCAUCAGUGAUGCAGAAAAAUCCAACGGAAAAAAUGGCUCAUUUCCAGAGAAUAUUUCGAACUCGAAUAGACGAAUGGGAAAAGAAUAAAAAAUAAUUCAGUGCACCAAGUUUUGUGAAACGCGUAAUUCGUACAGAGUUAGAAAGCGUCGUGAUAAUUGGCAAGCAUUUUGAGGUUAUGAUAAUCGAGACUGAGCUCCACAUCCCAAAAGCGUAGUUUGGUGCAGACCCACCUUUCCUGGGACGCCACCAGUCGGUCUCAAAGUAGCCUGCGGAGCAAGAGUGAGAUGGUGACGUUGUCGUACAGUAGGAGAAGAUCGUAUUUGUGGAAGAGGAGACGGAUAGUCCUUGUGUCCAACACCGGUUGAUUUUUUUUGACGAUUCGUAUUAAGAGGGAACACGCGAACACGUAAGCCAAACAAAACCGCAAGAUCAGUCGGAAUUGAUGCAACGUUUCCUCAUUUUUUUUCAACAAAUGUGAUAAAACUACGUGACGUGACAAAAAAUAAUGAAAAAUUCUCUACUCGGACGUUCGAGAGUCGUGUUUAUUUAUAUUUCAUAUAAAUAACGCACGUUCGAGUUACAGCUUUUACCGUAAUAUGCGAUCGGAACAAAGCUUUUAUUUUCCGAAGCAAUUUUCCAAUUAUUCAAAUUUACCGACUAAUUUUGUGGUUGAAUCGUCAGAGAUAUUUAAGCUUGAUUCACUCGAUAUAUAAGUAAAUGGGCAAUUGGGUUAAACAUCUUGCGAAUAUAACCGUACAACCAACCACCGAUGGAAGAGUGAGAGUUUCUCGCACAUUUCUUCUAUUACACUAGCCACCACCUUAAUGAAACCAGUUAAUCCGUUAAAAUUUGUAUUACAGUGUGACCGCAUAAACGAAAGGAUUUCUUUCUUCUGUCCUUUUUAAUUUAGUAUCUUUAUCUUUUCAAUCGAAUAGGUCAGUUAAGAUUAUUGUACAAAAAAGAUGAAAAUUUGAAAAUAGUGAGAGUACAAAAUGGUGUUAACCACGAAUAAUGAAUGUGAAAAAAUGUAAGUAUGCUUUGUAUCCAAAUAUACUUUUUUUCAGUUUCAA